rnacentral:lncRNA from 1 species
UCCAUGCUCUGGACACUACACUGACAGACACAGCAAACCUUCUUGCCACAGCUCGCAUUGAUGUGCCAUCCUGGAUGAGCUGCACUACUUGAGCCACUUCUGUGGGUUGUAGACUCCGUCUCAUGCUACCACUAGAGUGAAAGCACCGCCAGCAUUCAAAAGUGACCAAAACAUCAGCCAGGAAGCAUAGGAACUGAGAAGUGGUCUGUGGUCCCCACCUGCAGAACCACUCCUUUAUUGGGGGUGUCUUGCUAAUUGCCUAUAAUUUCCACCUGUUGUCUAUUCCAUUUGCACAACAGCAUGUGAAAUUUAUUGUCAAUCAGUGUUGCUUCCUAAGUGGACAGUUUGAUUUCACAGAAGUGUGAUUGACUUGGAGUUACAUUGUGUUGUUUAAGUGUUCCCUUUAUUUUUUUGAGCAGUGUAUUAUGGUCAGUUUACAUAUUGCCUCUUGUGGGUUCCUUUAAAAUAGUGGGUCCUUAUUUGUUUUGGGAAUAGAUUGUUUGAACCCUGUGUCAUGGUAAGUCGACCCAAGGAAAUAGCGACCUUGACAAAUAUUUGAGUCUGUGGAGAACAUGGUUCUCUGCUACAAAGACAAUAGUAAGAGGACGUUACCUAUGAGAGCGAAACAUUCACAAAACCAGCUCCAAACCUCUUCCCUGGUAUCAUAUUUCUUAUUAUCUCAGCCCAAUUAGUUCAAUGAUAUCUUGAAUGGCAAGUCUAAUAUCAGACCUAAUUUCCUUUGAAACAUGUUGUUGAGAGGAUGAUUGAAGAUAAGGGAAAUUGUAACAUAAAAAUUGUGUGAGGUGAGUGGUUAAAAUACUAUUCUAUCCUAUUUUUCUACCCAAAUAGAAACAAUUUAUUUUGAUGUUGUUACUAAUGGGCUGGGGAGGGGAGAGGGGUGGGGGAUGAAUGCCUCAGUAAUCAAGAGCAGAACCCCACUGCUUUCCUAACCUUGGUGUAAAAUAGAGAAAAAAAAAUCUCUAUAUUUCAAAAGUUGUCCUGUAGCUGUUAAUGAUCCCUUUUAUCUGAGUCUAUUGUUUGUGUAUUUUCAUCAGUGCAUUCUCUGGGCCAAACAUAAAGGGGUUUCCCAUUAGGGGCUACCCUAUUACAGGGGCUGCUGAAAAAGAGAUGUUUCGCCACUAACAACUAACACACAAGCACGCACACACACACACACACACACAACACACUCCACAGGCAAGGACACACGGGGGGAGGCAGGGGAAAGCUCAGCCAAGAUUCUCAAGACGAAACACUCACUCAGUCAAUCUGAUGUCUCCCAUUCUCCCAUAGAAACAUGAAAGGCUACAAGUACAUUCCGUCUAGAACACUAUAAUGUUCUCAGUGUUCUAUUCAGGAAUGUUACAGUUGAACAGGGAAACUUUUUUUGCCAGUCCACCCUUUAAAUGUCAUCCAUUAGAAUCAAUUAGAAUGUGCAGCACGCUCCAAAAAGGGCUAAAUGAAUAGGUAACCUAGGAAACGUGUACUCUCGUUCAGGUAGAGAGGUAGAGGGAUGGAGAUAUAGAGCAGGUUGAGUGAAGUUCAAAAGGCUCUCAAUUUGAAGUGCACCGAAUGAAGUACACUACAACCCUAUUUCCUCUUACAGUCAAGGACCCCUGAAGGUCGAAUGGAUUUCAUAUGUAUGCAAAUGCUUAUCUUCAAACCUGAAAAGCAGUACCUACCAGGGAGAGAAAAAGAACAAACUAUUCUCCCCUUGACACAAUAAAAAAAAAAUGGAGAUGUGCUCGUCUCAGAUCAGUACAGAAUGUUUUCGGUUUAGACCAGAUUUUUUUGAGCGUUUAAACAGUAUUUCCCCCUUUUCUUUACUGUUGCGGGUUAGUGGCUUGGACAGAAUAUUUGCAGACAUGUUACAUACAUAUAGUCUAGAGGUUUCUGUACCCAGAAAAAAAUUCCAGAAUGCAGUGUGUAGUUGGAAUGGAAGGUUGUAGAAGCAGGAGUUUGGUUAGGGUGGUUCCAAGAGGAAAACCAACAUUUCAAGGAACCUGGGUCACCACUUAUCAUUAUUUCAGUUGCGUAAGUCCCUGCUCCGUGAUUUAUAACGUUACUCAGAGCAAUGACUCAAAACACAACAAUAUCGAAUCACCGGCCAGAUAGAACAUGUGUCUACUGCACUCUUAAGAAAACAAUUUGCUAUCUAGAACCAGAAGGGUUCUUUGGCUGUCCCUAUAGAAGAACCCUUUGAAUAACCCUUUUUAGUUCCAGGUAGAACCCUAUUGGGUUCCAUGUAAAACCCAUUCCACAGAGGGUUCAAUAUGGAACCAAAAGGGUUCUACAUUGUACCAAAAAUAGUUCUACCUAGAGCCCAAAGGGUUCUCCUAUGGUGAGAGCCGAAGUACCCUUUUGGAACCCUUUUUUCUAAGAGUGUACCACACGACCAUACUCCAGCCUAGUUACUGUGGAUGGGGAUAAUGAGGUCUGGGCAUGAACUGAUGAAGAAGAAGAGAAGGAGGGAAAGAUAACAAAACUAAAUACCUUAAUCUAAUCCUUCCAUCUGUGAUUGACGUUUACAGCAUCAACAACCACAACAGACAUUCACAAAAACGGGAAUAUGGAAAACCACAGGAUUGGAUUGAGAAACAUCAGGUGAGUUAUGACCUCUAUUCCCAAGACCGAGCCAAGAUGGAUUCUCACACGUCUCUUCUGGCAGAGAGAAAACCAGACAAAUGUCCUAAUCUAUUUCCAUUCAGCCUCAUUAAACUUUAAUAAAUACAGAACUAUUCAUCAUCACACAGGCCGUUUGGUCGAUUCGUUCUACAGAUGUACUAGAGGAUAAUUUUAGAGCCUUCAGAAUUAAUCUGAUUUGAAAGCAUUGUGACCUUGGGUCCUACACUAAACUCCUUCUAAUUUCCUAAACUUUUAUCCGCAUCAUGGCAAAAGGUUAAUUCUCCACACGCAUGCAUGCACACACACACACACACACACGACACACAUGACACAAACCUUCAGUAAUGGAAGCUGUUGAGAACAGGAGUAAUCUCUCUGACGGAUGCCAGAGUUUAGUGGUUAACGGUAAACAGUUGACGUAAAUGGUUUACGGAGAACCUCAACGGAGGUAAAGCAGAAAGGAGGGAACAAAACAAAUGAAAACAGAACACAUCAUAAUAAAUCCCACUAUACUCUCCACUAUAUGAUGCACAUGGCAUGGACAGGGUUCACACAACUUAAAUUACAUUUUUCGUUGUCGGUCUCCAGCCAGGGACCCCUCCCGUAGGAGGACCAAGUGGGGGUGCAGGAUGCGGGUUAGAGGGGGGACACACUGGUCUAGUGGGGCACAGACAUUUGCCCACUGGCCGUCUCAGAGUAGGAGAGCGAGAGAGUUUAAGUAGAGAGUUUAGUUGUCAACUCAGUUCUGUUGUGAGUGAUAACAGGGUGCUGGGCCGUUCUGGAUACUAUAGUUCUGCAGUGUUGUGAGUGAUAACAGGGUGCUGUGCCGUUCUGGAUACUAUAGUUCUGCAGUGUUGUGAGUGAUAACAGGGUGCUGUGCCGUUCUGGAUACUAUAGUUCUGCAGUGUUGUGAGUGAUAACAGGGUGCUGGGCCGUUCUGGAUACUAUAGCUCUGUAGUGUUGUGAGUGAUAACAGGGUGCUGGGCCGUUCUGGACACUAUAGCUCUGUAGUGUUGUGAGUGAUAAUAUGGGGCUGUUCUGGACACUAUAGCUCUGUAAUGUUGUGAGUGAUAAUAGGGGGCUGUGCUGGACACUAUAGCUCUAUAGUGUUGUAAGUGAUAAUAAGGGGCUGUUCUGGAUACUAUAGUUCUAUAGCAUUGUGAGUGAUAAUAGGGGGCUGUUUUGGAUACUAUAGCUCUAUAGUUAUGUGAGUGAUCAUCUGGGGCUGUUCUGGAUACUAUAGCUCUGUAGUGUUGUGAGUGAUAAUAGGGGGCUGUUCUGGAUACUAUAGCUCUGUAGUGUUGUGAGUGAUAAUAGGGGGCUGUUUUGGAUACUAUAGCUCUAUAGUGUUGUGAGUGAUAAUAAGGGGCUGUUCUGGAUACUAUAGCUCUGUAGUGUUGUGAGUGAUAAUAGGGGGCUGUUGUGAAUACUAUAGCUCUGUAGUGCUGGGAGUGAUAAUAGGGGGCUGGGCUGUUCUAGAUACUAUAGCUCUGUAGUGCUGUGAGUGAUAAUAGGGGGCUGUUCUGGAUACUAUAGCUCUAUAGUGUUGUGAGUGAUAAUAUGGGGCUGUUCUAGAUACUAUAGAUCUGUAGUGUUGUGAGUGAUAAUAGGGGGCUGUUCUGGAUACUAUAGCUCUGUAGUGUUGUGAGUGAUAAUAAGGGGCUGUUCUGGAUACUAUAGCUCUAUAGUGUUGUGAGUGAUAAUAGGGUGCUAUUCUGGAUACUAUAGCUCUCUAGUGUUGUGAGUGAUAAUAGGGGGCUGGGCUGUUCUAGAUACUACAGCUCUGUAGUGUUGUGAGUGAUAAUAGGGUGCUGUUCUGGAUACUAUAGCUCUAUAGUGUUGUGAGUGAUAACAUGGGGCUGUUAUGGAUACUAUAGCUCUGUAGUGUUGUGAGUGAUAAUAUGGGGUUGUUCUGGAUACUGUAGCUCUGUAGUGUUGUGAGUGAUAAUAGGGGGCUGGGCUGUUCUAGAUACUAUAGCUCUGUAAUGUUGUGAGUGAUAAUAUGGGGCUGUUCUGGAUACUAUAGCUCUAUAGUGUUGUGAGUGAUAAUAUUGGGCUGUUCUAGAUACUAUAGCUCUGUAGUGUUGUGAGUGAUAUUAGGGGGCUGUUCUGGAUACUAUAGCUCUGUAGUGUUGUGAGUAGUAAUAGGGGGCUGUGCUGUUCUGGAUACUAUAGUUCUGUAGUGUUGUGAGUGAUAAUAGGGUGCUGUUCUGGAUACUAUAGCUCUGUAGUGUUGUGAGUGAUAAUAUGGGGCUGUUCUGGAUACUAUAGCUCUGUAGUGUUGUGAGUGAUAAUAGGGGGCUGUUCUGGAUACUAUAGCUCUGUAGUGUCUUGAGUGAUAAUAGGGGGCUGUUGUGAAUACUAUAGCUCUGUAGUGCUGUGAGUGAUAAUAGGGGGCUGGGCUGUUCUAGAUACUAUAGCUCUGUAGUGCUGUGAGUGAUAAUAGGGGGCUGUUCUGGAUACUAUAGCUCUAUAGUGUUGUGAGUGAUAAUAUGGGGCUGUUCUGUAUACUAUAGCUCUGUAGUGUUGUGAGUGAUAAUAGGGGGCUGUUCUGGAUACUAUAGCUCUGUAGUGUUGUGAGUGAUAAUAAGGGGCUGUUCUGGAUACUAUAGCUCUGUAGUGUUGUGAGUGAUAAUAGGGUGCUAUUCUGGAUACUAUAGCUCUCUAGUGUUGUGAGUGAUAAUAGGGGGCUGGGCUGUUCUAGAUACUACAGCUCUGUAGUGUUGUGAGUGAUAAUAGGGUGCUGUUCUGGAUACUAUAGCUCUAUAGUGUUGUGAGUGAUAACAUGGGGCUGUUAUGGAUACUAUAGCUCUGUAGUGUUGUGAGUGAUAAUAUGGGGUUGUUCUGGAUACUGUAGCUCUGUAGUGUUGUGAGUGAUAAUAGGGGGCUGGGCUGUUCCCAUUGCCAUGGGUCUUCAGCAUCAUCAUCAUCAUCAUCAUCAUCAUCACUGUCAUCAUCAUCACAUCACUAUAUGUAGUUAUCAGUAUUUUGUCUCCCCCAUACCCCAACUUCUUGUCUUGCCAAACUUUUAAGGGGUUUUGUUUACACACCUCCUUGACAGUAUUCUGGAUACUGUCAAGGUAUAUAUAUACUGCUCAAAAAAAUAAAGGGAACACUUAAACAACACAAUGUAACUCCAAGUCAAUCACACUUCUGUGAAAUCAAACUGUCCACUUUGGAAGCAACACUGAUUGACAAUAAAUGUCACAUGCUGUUGUGCAAAUGGAAUAGACAACAGGUGGAAAUUAUAGGCAAUUAGCAAG